UAUAUUAAAGUUGUUGCAGUUAAAAAGCUCGUAGUCGGAUGUCGGGCUCGGGCAGGCUGUCGGCUUCGGUCGGACGGCAGGCUCGGGUCUUUCUGCCUGAGGAUCCCGUUGCACUUAAUUGUGGGGCGUGGGGACGCAGGCCGUUUACUUUGAAAAAAUUAGAGUGUUCAAAGCAGGCCUACGCUUGAAUACAUUAGCAUGGAAUAAUGGAAUAGGACUUUGGUGCUAUUUUGUUGGUUUAUGGGACCGAAGUAAUGAUUAACAGGGACAGUUGGGGCCGUUUAUAUUUCGUUGUCAGAGGUGAAACUCUUGGAUUUACGAAAGAUAAACUUCUGCGAAAGCAUUCGGCAAGGAUGUUUUCAUUGAUCAAGAACGAAAGUUAGGGGAUCGAAGGCGAUCAGAUACCGUCGUAGUCUUAACCAUAAACUAUGCCGACUAGGGAUCAGUGGAUGUCAAUUUGCGACUCCAUUGGCACCUUGUGAGAAAUCAAAGUUUUUGGGUUCCGGGGGGAGUAUGGUCGCAAGGCUGAAACUUAAAGGAAUUG
rnacentral:rRNA from 1 species